AUUGAACGCUGGCGGCAUGCCUUACACAUGCAAGUCGAACGGUAACAGGUCUUCGGAUGCUGACGAGUGGCGAACGGGUGAGUAAUACAUCGGAACGUGCCUAGUAGUGGGGGAUAACUACUCGAAAGAGUGGCUAAUACCGCAUGAGAUCUACGGAUGAAAGCAGGGGAUCGCAAGACCUUGUGCUACUAGAGCGGCCGAUGGCAGAUUAGGUAGUUGGUGGGAUAAAAGCUUACCAAGCCGACGAUCUGUAGCUGGUCUGAGAGGACGAUCGGCCACACUGGGACGGAGACCCGGCCCAGACUCCUACGGGAGGCAGCAGUGGGGAAUUUUGGACAAUGGGCGCAAGCCUGAUCCAGCAAUGCCGCGUGCAGGAUGAAGGCCUUCGGGUUGUAAACUGCUUUUGUACGGAACGAAAAGCCCUGGGUUAAUACCCUGGGGUCAUGACGGUACCGUAAGAAUAAGCACCGGCUAACUACGUGCCAGCAGCCGCCGUAACAC
rnacentral:rRNA from 1 species